CAGCGUGAUGAUAAACAGGGGAUGCUGCUCCAGAUGCAGAUUGGGAAGAAAAAGAUGUCGCAAAGGAUCUAGCUGUCGUGUCUGGGA